CUAUGUACGGAAUGGAUAAGCGCUGAAAGCAUCUAAGCGCGAAGCCAACUUCAAGAUAAGAUUUCCCACCGCAAGGGUAAGACCCCAGAAAGACUAUCUGGUUGAUAGGUCGAAGGUGUAAGUGCAGCAAUGUAUUUAGCUUAUCGAUACUAAUAGGUCGAGGACUUGACCAA
rnacentral:rRNA from 3 species